rnacentral:rRNA from 1 species
GACUGGGGCGGUCUCCUCCCAAAGAGUAACGGAGGAGCACGAAGGUGGGCUAAUCACGGUUGGACAUCGUGAGGUUAGUGCAAUGGCAUAAGCCCGCUUGACUGCGAGAAUGACAAUUCGAGCAGGUGCGAAAGCAGGUCAUAGUGAUCCGGUGGUUCUGAAUGGAAGGGCCAUCGCUCAACGGAUAAAAGGUACUCCGGGGAUAACAGGCUGAUACCGCCCAAGAGUUCAUAUCGACGGCGGUGUUUGGCACCUCGAUGUCGGCUCAUCACAUCCUGGGGCUGAAGUCGGUCCCAAGGGUAUGGCUGUUCGCCAUUUAAAGUGGUACGCGAGCUGGGUUUAGAACGUCGUGAGACAGUUCGGUCCCUAUCUGCCGUGGGCGUUGGAAGAUUGAAGGGGGCUGCUCCUAGUACGAGAGGACCGGAGUGGACGAACCUCUGGUGUUCGGGUUGUGUCGCCAGACGCAUUGCCCGGUAGCUAAGUUCGGAAUCGAUAACCGCUGAAAGCAUCUAAGCGGGAAGCGAGCCCUGAGAUGAGUCUUCCCUGGCGCUUAAAGCGUCCUAAAGGGUUGUUCGAGACUAGAACGUUGAUAGGCAGGGUGUGUAAGCGUUGUGAGGCGUUGAGCUAACCUGUACUAAUUGCCCGUGAGGCUUAACCAUACAACACCC